UCCCUCAUUUGUCUUUGCACAGUUGUCAUGAGACCUUUAUUCUGACAUACAUCUCAACUUAGGUCAUUUAGUUUGGCAAAACAUUAUUUGCAAUUUUGAGAGCUUUCCUUGAAUUGAAUCCAGACAACAAGUCAACAUGGCUGCAUCGUUUCUACCAUUUGUGCUUCAGAAUCUCAACUCCUUGAUCCAAAAGGAGGUGGGCUUGCUUUGGGGUGUUGACAAGGAGAUGAAAAAGCUUUCAAGCACUCUCACCACCAUCCAGGCUGUCCUGCAAGAUGCAGAACAAAAACAAUCCCAAGAAAAAGCAAUACAAAAUUGGUUGAGAAAACUCAAUGAUGCAGCCUAUGAAGUAGAAGACAUCUUGGAUGACUGCACAACCGAAGCCCUCCAAUACGAAUCAAAAAGGCUGAGUUCUAGUUCUCUAAAGAAGGUAAUAAGCACUUCCUUAUUGACUUAUCCUGUUCAGAACAUUCUGUUCCGUCACAAGAUAGGGAAUAGGAUGAAAGAUACCAUAGAGAACUUAAAUGCAAUUGCUGAAGAGCGGAUGAAGUUUCAUUUACGUGAGGUGGUUGUGGAGAAGCGUGUUGAAUUGGCUGACAGACGUGAAACCAGCUCUGCUCUAACUCAACCACAACUGUAUGGAAGAGAAGAAGAUAAAGAAAAAAUUGUCAAAAUGUUGGUUGAGAAUAUAUGUGAUUGCCAGGAUGUUUCUGUCUACCCUAUAAUUGGCAUGGGGGGGCUAGGAAAGACCACGCUUGCCCAAAUGGUCUUCAACGAUGAGAGGGUAAAGUGCCACUUUGAGCCUAAAAUUUGGGUUUAUGUUUCUCAGGAUUUUGAUGUGAAAAGGGUGAUAAAAACAUUAAUCGAAUCCGUAUCUAAGGGAACCUGUGAAGCCUCAAACCUAGAUUCUUUGCAGAAAAAGCUUCAAGAGAUGCUAAAUAGGAAAAGAUAUUUGCUUGUAUUAGAUGAUUUGUGGGACGAAGAUCAAGACAACUGGGAGGGGCUAAAGUAUUUACUAGCAUGUGGAUCAAAAGGUGCUUCCAUUAUCGUUACUACUCGUGUUGCAAAGGUAGCAUCAAUCACGGGAACUGUUCCAGCACAUCACUUGUCAUUUUUAUCUGAAGAAGAUUGCUGGUUGUUGUUCAAACAACGGGCAUUUGGACACGGGAAUGAAGAGCAUCCAAACCUUGUGGCCAUUGGGAAGGAGAUAGUGAAGAAAUGUGGGGGUGUGCCUUUAGCUGCGAAGGCCCUUGGAGGGCUAAUGCGCUUCAAAAGUGAGGAAACAGAUUGGCAUUAUGUUCAAGAAAGUGAAAUUUGGAACUUACCCCAAGACAAAAAUUCCAUCUUGCCUCUCUUGAGAUUAAGUUACAAUAACCUUCCAUUGGAAUUGAGACGGUGUUUUGCUUACUGUGCCAUUUUUCUGAAAGGUUCUAAAAUUGAAAAGGAAAAACUUAUUCAUCUUUGGAUGGCUAAUGGCUUUAUUUCAUCCAACGGAAAAUCAGAGUUAGAAGAUAUUGGUAAUGGUAUAUGGAAUGAGUUAUAUUGGAGAUCCUUUUUCCAAAAUGUGGACAAAGAUCCAUCUGGCGUCAUUAUUUUCAAAAUUCAUGAUCUUAUGCACGAUCUUGCCCAAUCCGUUAUGGAAGAUGAAUGCCAUAUGAUGGAGGCUGAAAGCUCAAAGAAUAUAUCAGUGCAAGGAAUUCAUCAUGUUACACUGGUUGCUGACUAUAUGGAUGUAGCUGUCUUUCCUAAAGCAUUAUAUAGAGUUGAAUCCUUACGUACAAUUCUUCCACAAAUUAGACAGCCAUACACUUACACUCGUAGUUCUUUUUCUUUUUCUGUUGACUUCACAAAUUUUGGUUCAUUACGAGUGUUUGAUGCAUUCGGCUUCAACAUGGGGCAGUUGUCAUCUUCAAUUGGUAAGUUAAAACAUUUAAGGUACUUGAACCUUUCUGAAAGUUACAUUCAGAUGCUCCCAAAGUCAAUUUGUAGCCUUCACAAUUUGCAGACUUUAAACCUAAAUUCCUGUUUUGAGCUUCAGAGGCUGCCCAAGAACAUGAAAUCCCUAAGAAGCCUCCGACAUCUUUGUCUGAAAGGUUGUAGCAAAAUACAGGACAUGCCUCCAAAGCUUGGGCAUUUAACUCUCCUGAGGACAUUAAGCUUAUUUGUCGUGGGUAAGAGUAGAGGUCAUCGGGUAGUUGAAUUGCAAUGCUUAGAUCUUGGGGGAGAAUUGUGUAUCCGUCACCUUGAGAGAGUGAGAAACUCAAUGGAUGCCAAAGAAGCCAAUUUGGUCGGAAAACAGAACCUCCGAGUCUUGAAGUUAUCAUGGGGACAUAACAGUGAAUCAGAAUCACAAGCAAAUGUUGAACAACUACUUGAAGCCCUGGAACCUCACCCAAAUGUUGAAGAGUUGUUCAUAGACAAUUACAGAGGUGCCCACUUCCCACUUUGGAUGAGGGAUUCAAUUCUUAAAAACAUAGUUUCUAUUGUGCUACGUAGCUGCAGAAACUGUUUAGAACUUCCAGCCUUUGGACAGUUGCCUUCCCUGCGACGGCUUGUGAUUUCUAACAUGGAUUAUGUGGAGUACAUUGACAAUUACUUCCCUGGCGGAGGCCCAGUUAGAGGAUUUCCGUCUUUGGAAGUACUCCUCAUUUCUGGUUUGCCGAAUUUGGUAGGGUUGUCAAGGGAGGAAGGAAGAGAGCUACUCCCUCGUCUUCACGAGAUAUACAUCUGCAAUUGCCCAAAAUUGACCUUGCCGCGUCUUUCAUCACCAAAACUCUUGACUGUCUCGAGUUCCAGCAACGAGGUACUAAGUUCAAUCUCAAAUCUUAAUCAUCUCACUACCCUUUCAGUUAAUGGCGGGGACAUGAUUUCUUUUCCAGAAGAGAUGUUGCAAAACCUAACUGUUCUUGAAUCUCUACAAAUUGAAAACUUUAGCCAACUUAAAGUGCUACCUACAAACUUGGAAAGCCUUGUCUCUUUGAAGUCAUUUCGUAUCUGGGGUUGUCAGGAGAUUGAGUCUUUGCCAGAUCCUGGGCUACGAAGCCUAAAGUCUCUCCAACAUCUGACGAUUAGCCAGUGCAAUAAUUUGAGUUCUUUAUCUGAGAGUUUGGGACACCUCACUGCCUUGGAGGAAUUGCAUGUUUAUCGGUGUCCCAAGCUAGUGACUUUGCCAGACAGCAUUAAACAUCUUGUUUCUCUUCGACGCCUAGAUAUUCGUGGUAGUGAGUUGAAGACUUUGCCUAAAGCAUUGAAACAUGUCCCUGCACUUCAAUCUCUAUCUAUUUCUUGGUAUACAGAGCUCACAUCACUGCCUGAAUGGUUGGGAAACCUUACGUCACUUCAAUCGUUGCACAUUGAUUACUGUCCCAAGAUUCCAUCACUUCCACAUGGCUUUCAAAGGCUAACCAACCUCCAAACUUUGAGCAUUUAUGGAUGCCGUCCUGAAUUGGUAAGGCGAUGUCAAAAGGAAAAGGGGGAGGAUUGGUAUAAGAUAGCACAUAUUCCAAAAAUCAAUCUGACAAUUGCUCUCUCUUUUUCUCACGCAUCACAAACUUGUAGAGGAUUACUUCCCUGGCAGAGGCCCAGUUAGAGGAUUUCCGUCUUUGAAAGUACUCGUUAUUUCGGAGUUGCCGAAUUUGGUAGGCUUGUCAAGGGAGGAAGGAAGAGAACUACUCCCGUCUUCACAGGAUAAACAUCCACAAUUGCCCAAAAUUGACGUUGCCGCAUCUUUCAUCACCAAAACUCUUGUAUGUCUCGAGUUCCACGAACUUCAAUCUCAGAUCUUAAUCAUCUCACCACCCUUACCGUUCAUGGCGGGGACAUGGUUUCUUUUCCAGAAGAGAUGUUGCAAAACCUAACUGUUCUUGAAUCUCUACAAAUUGAAAGCUAUAGCCAACUUAAAGGGCUACCUACAAACUUGGAAAGCCUUGUAUCUUUGAAGUCACUGAGUAUCAGCCGUUGUCAUGAGAUUGAGACUUUGCCAGAUCAUGGGCUACGAAGCCUAAAGUCUCUCCAACAUCUGACGAUUGGAGACUGUAAUAAUUUGAGUUCUUUAUCUGAGAGUUUGGAACACCUCACUGCCUUGGAGGAAUUGUAUGUUUAUGGGUGUCCCAAGCUAGUGACUUUGCCAGACAGCAUUAAACAUCUUGUUUCUCUUCGACACGUAGAAAUUCGUGGUGGACUUUGUGCAGAGUUGAAGACUUUGCCUGAAGCAUUGAAACAUGUCCCUGCACGUCAAUCUCUAUCUAUUUCUGGGUAUCCAGAGCUCACAUCACUGCCUGAAUGGUUGGGAAACCUUACGUCACUUCAAUCGUUGUGCAUUAGUUACUGUCCCAAGAUUCCAUCACUUCCACAUGGCUUUCAAAGGCUAACCAACCUCCAAACUUUGGCCAUUUAUAGAUGCUGUCCUGAAUUGGUAAGGCGAUGUCAAAAGGAAAGGGGGGAGGAUUGGUAUAAGAUAGCACAUAUUCCAAAAAUCAUGAUGUGCUGUUAGGCUUUCGGGUCACAAUGACAGUAGCAUGAUAGCUGCAAGUUUUGAAGUGGUUGUAGCGUUGGAUACAUUGCUGGUGGGGAAUAUAUUGGGCUGCUUAUUAUAGGUCUGAGGUUGGGUAACCGGAGGUGGUUUCAUUCAGCUGUUCUGAUCUCAGACUCCCUUUGUGUUAAUUUCUCUUCUGCGAAAUAAAGAUUAAAUGCAGGUCUUAUUGGGCUAUGUAUAAUAAUAUUAGUGUGUGAUGGACACUGGGUGCUCUAGCCUUCUGAGGUCAGAGGGUUAGAGCCUCCUAUCAUGCCCACUAUUUUUUUGAGCGAUGAUUUGAAGUUCAAUUUCUGUUAUAAUUUUAUAUUCUUUCACU